UAUGUGAUCGUCUCUCGCAUAUCAAUAAGCGGAGGAAAAGAAACUAACAAGGAUUCCCCUAGUAACGGCGAGUGAAGCGGGAAGAGCUCAAAUUUGAAAGUCUUAAAGGGUUUCCCUUUACGAAUUGUAGUUUAAAGAAGUGUUUUCUGUUGAGGUUUUGGUAAAAGUUCUUUGGAAUAGGACAUCAUAGAGGGUGAGAAUCCCGUACUUGACCUUUACUUUCCAACUUUGUGAUUACACUUUCAAAGAGUCGGAUUGUUUGGGAAUGCAGUCCAAAAUGGGUGGUAAAUUUCAUCUAAAGCUAAAUAUUGGCGAGAGACCGAUAGCGAACAAGUACCGUGAGGGAAAGAUGAAAAGAACUUUGAAAAGAGAGUUAAACAGUACGUGAAAUUGUCAAAAGGGAGGCGUUUGACACCAGUGUUGUUUUUCUGAAAAUCAAUUAAAGAACUGUUUAUGCUAAGCUGUUUAGACUUUAUCAGCUAACUAUUUAGUUUUGAGCUUUUCUUUAAUGCACUUUUCAGUUAACAAGUCAACAUCAAUUUCUUUUGCUGUAAAAAAGCUUGAGGAAGGUGGCUUGAGAUUCGUCUUAAGUGUUUAUAGCCUCUUGCCUAUGCAGUCGGAGAGAUUGAGGUCUGCAGCGUAGAUCCUUCGGGGCUAAAUGCAUUUGUGCUAAGUUAUAGCGUUUUAUAGACAACUUGUUGACUAUGAUUUGUCUUGUAGCUUACUCGCUUAUGUUAUUUUACCUACGCUUAGGAUGUUGAACGCGCACAGAGUCUC
rnacentral:rRNA from 1 species